rnacentral:rRNA from 1 species
GGUUAAGCGACUAAGCGUACACGGUGGAUGCCCUGGCAGUCAGAGGCGAUGAAGGACGUGCUAAUCUGCGAUAAGCGUCGGUAAGGUGAUAUGAACCGUUAUAACCGGCGAUUUCCGAAUGGGGAAACCCAGUGUGAUUCGUCACACUAUCAUUAACUGAAUCCAUAGGUUAAUGAGGCGAACCGGGGGAACUGAAACAUCUAAGUACCCCGAGGAAAAGAAAUCAACCGAGAUUCCCCCAGUAGCGGCGAGCGAACGGGGAGCAGCCCAGAGCCUGAAUCAGUGUGUGUGUUAGUGGAAGCGUCUGGAAAGGCGUGCGAUACAGGGUGACAGCCCCGUACACAAAAAUGCACAUACUGUGAGCUCGAUGAGUAGGGCGGGACACGUGGUAUCCUGUCUGAAUAUGGGGGGACCAUCCUCCAAGGCUAAAUACUCCUGACUGACCGAUAGUGAACCAGUACCGUGAGGGAAAGGCGAAAAGAACCCCGGCGAGGGGAGUGAAAAAGAACCUGAAACCGUGUACGUACAAGCAGUGGGAGCACAGAGCAAUCUGUGUGACUGCGUACCUUUUGUAUAAUGGGUCAGCGACUUAUAUUCUGUAGCAAGGUUAACCGAAUAGGGGAGCCGAAGGGAAACCGAGUCUUAACUGGGCGUUAAGUUGCAGGGUAUAGACCCGAAACCCGGUGAUCUAGCCAUGGGCAGGUUGAAGGUUGGGUAACACUAACUGGAGGACCGAACCGACUAAUGUUGAAAAAUUAGCGGAUGACUUGUGGCUGGGGGUGAAAGGCCAAUCAAACCGGGAGAUAGCUGGUUCUCCCCGAAAGCUAUUUAGGUAGCGCCUCGUGAAUUCAUCUCCGGGGGUAGAGCACUGUUUCGGCAAGGGGGUCAUCCCGACUUACCAACCCGAUGCAAACUGCGAAUACCGGAGAAUGUUAUCACGGGAGACACACGGCGGGUGCUAACGUCCGUCGUGAAGAGGGAAACAACCCAGACCGCCAGCUAAGGUCCCAAAGUCAUGGUUAAGUGGGAAACGAUGUGGGAAGGCCCAGACAGCCAGGAUGUUGGCUUAGAAGCAGCCAUCAUUUAAAGAAAGCGUAAUAGCUCACUGGUCGAGUCGGCCUGCGCGGAAGAUGUAACGGGGCUAAACCAUGCACCGAAGCUGCGGCAGCGACGCUGAUGCGUUGUUGGGUAGGGGAGCGUUCUGUAAGCCUGCGAAGGUGUGCUGUGAGGCAUGCUGGAGGUAUCAGAAGUGCGAAUGCUGACAUAAGUAACGAUAAAGCGGGUGAAAAGCCCGCUCGCCGGAAGACCAAGGGUUCCUGUCCAACGUUAAUCGGGGCAGGGUGAGUCGACCCCUAAGGCGAGGCCGAAAGGCGUAGUCGAUGGGAAACAGGUUAAUAUUCCUGUACUUGGUGUUACUGCGAAGGGGGGACGGAGAAGGCUAUGUUGGCCGGGCGACGGUUGUCCCGGUUUAAGCGUGUAGGCUGGUUUUCCAGGCAAAUCCGGAAAAUCAAGGCUGAGGCGUGAUGACGAGGCACUACGGUGCUGAAGCAACAAAUGCCCUGCUUCCAGGAAAAGCCUCUAAGCAUCAGGUAACAUCAAAUCGUACCCCAAACCGACACAGGUGGUCAGGUAGAGAAUACCAAGGCGCUUGAGAGAACUCGGGUGAAGGAACUAGGCAAAAUGGUGCCGUAACUUCGGGAGAAGGCACGCUGAUAUGUAGGUGAAGUCCCUCGCGGAUGGAGCUGAAAUCAGUCGAAGAUACCAGCUGGCUGCAACUGUUUAUUAAAAACACAGCACUGUGCAAACACGAAAGUGGACGUAUACGGUGUGACGCCUGCCCGGUGCCGGAAGGUUAAUUGAUGGGGUUAGCGCAAGCGAAGCUCUUGAUCGAAGCCCCGGUAAACGGCGGCCGUAACUAUAACGGUCCUAAGGUAGCGAAAUUCCUUGUCGGGUAAGUUCCGACCUGCACGAAUGGCGUAAUGAUGGCCAGGCUGUCUCCACCCGAGACUCAGUGAAAUUGAACUCGCUGUGAAGAUGCAGUGUACCCGCGGCAAGACGGAAAGACCCCGUGAACCUUUACUAUAGCUUGACACUGAACAUUGAGCCUUGAUGUGUAGGAUAGGUGGGAGGCUUUGAAGUGUGGACGCCAGUCUGCAUGGAGCCGACCUUGAAAUACCACCCUUUAAUGUUUGAUGUUCUAACGUUGACCCGUAAUCCGGGUUGCGGACAGUGUCUGGUGGGUAGUUUGACUGGGGCGGUCUCCUCCUAAAGAGUAACGGAGGAGCACGAAGGUUGGCUAAUCCUGGUCGGACAUCAGGAGGUUAGUGCAAUGGCAUAAGCCAGCUUGACUGCGAGCGUGACGGCGCGAGCAGGUGCGAAAGCAGGUCAUAGUGAUCCGGUGGUUCUGAAUGGAAGGGCCAUCGCUCAACGGAUAAAAGGUACUCCGGGGAUAACAGGCUGAUACCGCCCAAGAGUUCAUAUCGACGGCGGUGUUUGGCACCUCGAUGUCGGCUCAUCACAUCCUGGGGCUGAAGUAGGUCCCAAGGGUAUGGCUGUUCGCCAUUUAAAGUGGUACGCGAGCUGGGUUUAGAACGUCGUGAGACAGUUCGGUCCCUAUCUGCCGUGGGCGCUGGAGAAUUGAGGGGGGCUGCUCCUAGUACGAGAGGACCGGAGUGGACGCAUCACUGGUGUUCGGGUUGUCAUGCCAAUGGCACUGCCCGGUAGCUAAAUGCGGAAGAGAUAAGUGCUGAAAGCAUCUAAGCACGAAACUUGCCCCGAGAUGAGUUCUCCCUGACUCCUUGAGAGUCCUGAAGGAACGUUGAAGACGACGACGUUGAUAGGCCGGGUGUGUAAGCGCAGCGAUGCGUUGAGCUAACCGGUACUAAUGAACCGUGAGGCUUAACCUU